rnacentral:rRNA from 1 species
UACGGGGGGAGCAAGCGUUGUUCGGAUUUACUGGGCGUAAAGGGCGCGUAGGCGGCCACCGCAAGUCGACUGUGAAAGUCUCCGGGCUUAACCCGGAAAGGUCAGCCGAUACUGCGGGGCUAGAGUGCAGAAGGGGCAACUGGAAUUCUCGGUGUAGCGGUGAAAUGCGUAGAUAUCGAGAGGAACACCUGCGGCGAAGGCGGGUUGCUGGGCUGACACUGACGCUGAAGUGCGAAAGCUAGGGGAGCGAACGGG